rnacentral:misc_RNA from 1 species
AAAGUCGUAACAAGGUAACCGUAGGUGAACCUGCGGUUGGAUCAUUAACAAUCUUAGAGAGGCCUUGGCAACAAGGACUACUCCAACACCUUUGUGAACUGUUUAUUUGUCUCUAGCGUGUUUCGCACGCAGAUUUAAACUCUUUGUAUAACAUCCAGCCUUUAAACUAUAAAAAAAGUAAUUAAAACAACUUUUGACAACGGAUCUCUAGGCUCUC